rnacentral:lncRNA from 1 species
AAAAUGAUGAUGGCAUCAAAAUGGCAAGCUUUCGAUGCCCCUUCUUCUAUAUAGCAAUGACUCCGGAAGACAUUUAUCGUACGUUAGCCUCGAUGUUCCGUUCCGCAGGAAGCGCAUUAUGAGCAAUCUAAUAGGGUCAUCUACAAGAUUGAAGCAGGGCUCAAAAACAUGCUGCUCACCCCUGAGUGAAGGACCAGCCGACCUGGGUUGACCUGAGUCCCACAGAAGCCACCUCUUUCCUUUCGCUCAUGGUUUUUAAAUAAAAUAAGAUUCAUGCCUAUAACCCCAGCAUUUCAGAUUUGGAGGCAAGAGGAUCUCAGGAAUUCAAGGUCAUCCUUGGCUCUACAGAGAGUUCAAGGCCAGCCUAGACUAUAUGCUUCACCUCAAAGAAAACACAAAAGCAAGGCUUUCCUCGUGGCUCAGCAGAUAAGAGUGCACAGCAUGGAAACCCAAGUUCAAGUCCUCAGUACCCAUAACAUGACCAUUGCACCCAUGAACUUGCUGCUGCUAUGAUAACCUGCACAAGAUCAGGGCAGCAUGAUCAGUCAACAUUCUAACAGACAGCACUAAUUAGACUCAAUAUGAGGGGAGAGGAAGAGGGAGAGGGAGGAAGUGAAGAAGGAAGGGCUAUGUUGGGGAGGUCUCGGCAGCAUUGGAAGGGACUUAGGAGGGGUAUAAUUACAUUCAUUGUUUGCACUUGUCAAAGAAUAAAUAAAAA